UAAUAUGGUAUAAUACAUCAUAAAAACCUAGGUGGCUUGUGUUUUAAUUAAUGUAAUUUCUUUAGCAAUGACAGUUUUGGUUAUAAUUAUAUAUUUUAAUUUUUGGUGUAUCGACAAGAUUCAAAAUCAGGGAUUCCUUUGUCAUGAGUAGAUGCGCAACCGUCCAAAUGUCAAACAUUAUCAUAACCCAAAAUAUUGAACCUGAAUGGAGGGAAAUGUUUUCAAAACGCAUAUUGUCGAGGCAUUCAUUGACACAGAUGCUUCUUUCUUAAUGAAACAUACCUCUGUAAUAACCCAGACUACUGAUUACACUAAUAAUUCGAACAAGUGAAUGAUUCUUCAAUUUCAUCGAUAUUAGUGGACGACAGGGUUUGAAUUUAAAUUGUAAAAUGUGUCAUCAUUCAGAAAGAAUUGAAAUAAAACGGGAAUUAGAUGAGUUUCUAAGGAGAUUUUUAUUCGGAAUGCGCGCAAGAUGCCCCGACUAUUUGAUGUUCACAAUGGUCAUGUUGAUAAGUUAUACAAAUUAUUUCAUAAUCAUAACCACAGAUGAUCUGUGCGAAUUUGCAAAAAAUUUCCUCUAUGUGUGGAUAAACGAUGGGAGUCUCUCAGAAUUCUUAGAAUCUAGAUCGGUAAAAUUGUUCCCUUCCAUAUUAGGACUUGUAUUUCUUGCUUUAAGCUUUCUAUUACACUAUAUUUUGGGAUUAUUGUUUAUUCGUAGUACACUCAGAACAUAUAUACUCCACAAAAAAGGAUAUCUCAAGGAAUUGGAUGUAUUUAGAUUUAUCUUGUUUUCAAGGACAGAUUGAUGUUGACCAAUAUUCUAAAGUUCAUUAAUUCGAUAGAGAUAUUAAGUAUCAUAUUUAGUCUUUCAUAUAUUUGUGAUAUUGUGAUUAUUCGAAUACCGAAUUCAAAUAUUUUAAGGUUGAAGAUAUGAAAAUAAAUUUUGAUGUUAUGCGAUUUUAAAUAUACAUUGAUGUUUUA